UACGAUUCUCAAUGAGCUGGAGCUGCGAGUAUGCGCACACGGUCUCGGUUUUCCUACGAUUCUCAAUGAGCUGGAGCUGCGAGUAUGCGCACACGUCGCGGUUUUCCUACGAUUCUCAAUGAGCUGGAGCUGUGAGUAUGCGCACACGGUCGCAGUUUUCCUACGAUUCUCAAUGAGCUGGAGCUGUGAGUAUGCGCACACGGUCGCAGUUUUCCUACGAUUCUCAAUGAGCUGGAGCUGCGAGUAUGCGCACACGGUCGCAGUUUUCCUACGAUUCUCAAUGAGCUGGAGCUGCGAGUAUGCGCACACGGUCGC